rnacentral:lncRNA from 12 species
AGAGUUCUGCUUGUAAGAAAUUUCAGUUUUACUUAAUUGAUUUUUCCCAAUGAAAUUCCUGAACAGCUCUUACAAAGAGGCUUUGGAGUCAGGAGGACAGGCAGAAUACUUCAGGUAACCAGUCUGAAACAGAUAAAAGGAAAUAAGUCGUGACCGGAGUGGCUGAACACAGUGCAGAAGGCACUGCCAGGGAAUCCAGAGGCACAAAUGUGUUGAAGGUACAUUUAGGAGUGUAACUGGAGGGUGGCUCCAUGGAUGGCUGUGCUGGCCACCUGAUGGAGGAAGUCCAUUAAGCAGAUUUCUGUAAUGGAAGCUGGAUAGAGCAGGGGAAGAUGAGUCCUGGGAAGACCUCAGUGUUGUAUUCACCUUCACACAGUGCCUUUGGUGGAGAUCAGUGUGAGCUGCACUGAUUUUUGGUCCAAUGGCAUUUCUGGUGCUUGUUCUAAGGAUUUUGCCUCUUGAGACAGUUUUGGAAGGUGACACAGGGUUUGUCCAGGCUGCCCUUUAAACCCUGUGUGCCCACUCUGUCCUGCAGGGCCUGUCUGGGAUGUGGCUGUGUAGUGCUCAAACACCAUUCCUAUAUCCAGAGAGGAUUUAGGGGAUCCUGCCCUUUUCCUGUUUUCCAUGGGGCAUGCAAUGCCCAAACCAGGCAAUCCUCCUUGUGUCAGUACUUCCCAAAAAUGUCAGCAGGGGAUAAACUCCAGCACUGUGUUUUCUAAACAGACUAUGAAACCAAGAAUGAGAGACAAGUGUGAACCUUCUUCCAGCCCCUUCUGUCAUCUGGGCAUGCUCGUGUCACUGCAAGCAGUUGGGACAUCUGGAAUGGGUUCAUCAGGAAAGUUCUUCUGUCUGGUUCAGUGCCUGGUCACAGCGAGUUUUCCUGGCACAAGUGAGUGGAAAGAGCACUUUGGCAUGGAGAGGAAAUGAGCGGCAGAGGGUGAAAGGUGUCCUGGCAGGCACUUCCCAUUUGUGUCCUUACCUCCCAGUCCCCAGCUGUCUCUAAAGGCUUCCCAGCUACUCUGUCCUGCAAGUUCAAAACCCUGCAGCCACUGGGCCUGGAAAUGUGUGAAGGAGCACAAGGAUUGGAGUUGAAUGACAGUGUAAGUAUCAGUUGUCGCUGCAAGGAAUGCUUCCUUCAUUUCCAGAAGGAGUUCAGU